ACGGGUAACGGGGAAUUAGGGUUCGAUUCCGGAGAGGGAGCCUGAGAAACGGCUACCACAUCUAAGGAAGGCAGCAGGCGCGCAAAUUACCCAAUCCUAAUACAGGGAGGUAGUGACAAGAAAUAACAAUACAGGACUUUUUGGUUUUGUAAUUGGAAUGAGUUAAGUAUAAACCCCUUUACAAGUAUCAAUUGGAGGGCAAGUCUGGUGCCAGCAGCCGCGGUAAUUCCAGCUCCAAUAGCGUAUAUUAAAGUUGUUGCAGUUAAAAAGCUCGUAGUUGGAUUUCUGUUAAUAAUUUAUAUAAAAUAUUUUGAUGAAUAUUUAUAUAAUAUUAACAUAAUUCAUAUUACUAUAUAUUUUAGUAUAUGAAAUUUUACUUUGAGAAAAUUAGAGUGCUUAAAGCAGGCAUAUGCCUUGAAUACUCCAGCAUGGAAUAAUAUUAAAGAUUUUUAUCUUUCUUAUUGGUUCUAAGAUAAGAAUAAUGAUUAAUAGGG
rnacentral:rRNA from 1 species